UCUGUGAGGAAUCGGAGGCCUCAAUGAGUUGCUGGAGUCCUCCUGGCACAUCUCGGAGCCAUGGGCUGCUGCCAGAUCACUGCCUCCCAGACGAAUGUGCGAGUGACUGAGCGCUCGAACUCAACCCAGAAGAGCUUAGAAAAAAAAGAAAGAAAAGAUUCAAGGCAAAUCUUGAGAGAAGCUGCGGUGCUGGGAGAUUUUGACGGAAUCCCACAGGGAGAGGCACAAUUAAGAAUCUCAUGCAGCAGAGCAUCCCUUUGUCCUUGUGAUUAGAGGAAGUGAGGACAUUCACCCUGGGCCAAAUAGUGCUGAUCCAGUGAUUCUGCUGCCUUCCAGGGACUGUUCUGGGGACUCAAGAAAGGGCAAAGAAGAAGAGAGAUUGGUUCUUGCUUUCCAGUACCCCGCGUUCUAACAAGGCAGGCAGUGAUGAACAUGUACAGGAGACUACAGAGCGGCUAACCCCUUC